GAUGAACGCUGGCGGCGUGCCUAAUACAUGCAAGUCGAGCGAAUGGAUUGAGAGCUUGCUCUUAUGAAGUUAGCGGCGGACGGGUGAGUAACACGUGGGUAACCUGCCCAUAAGACUGGGAUAACUCCGGGAAACCGGGGCUAAUACCGGAUAACAUUUUGAACCGCAUGGUUCGAAAUUGAAAGGCGGCUUCGGCUGUCACUUAUGGAUGGACCCGCGUCGCAUUAGCUAGUUGGUGAGGUAACGGCUCACCAAGGCAACGAUGCGUAGCCGACCUGAGAGGGGGAUCGGCCACACUGGGACUGAGACACGGCCCAGACUCCUACGGGGGGCAGAAGUAGGGAAUCUUCCGCAAUGGACGAAAGUCUGACGGAGCAACGCCGCGUGAGUGAUGAAGGCUUUCGGGUCGUAAAACUCUGUUGUUAGGGAAGAACAAGUGCUAGUUGAAUAAGCUGGCACCUUGACGGUACCUAACCAGAAAGCCACGGCUAACUACGUGCCAGCCGCCGCAGUAA
rnacentral:rRNA from 1 species